GUGGGGAAUAUUGGACAAUGGGCGCAAGCCUGAUCCAGCCAUGCCGCGUGAGUGAUGAAGGCCUUCGGGUUGUAAAGCUCUUUUGGCGGGGACGAUGAUGACGGUACCCGCAGAAUAAGCCCCGGCAAACUUCGUGCCAGCAGCCGCGGUAAGACGAAGGGGGCAAGCGUUGUUCGGAAUUACUGGGCGUAAAGGGCGCGUAGGCGGUCCUUUUAGUCGGACGUGAAAGCCCUGGGCUCAACCUGGGAGGUGCGUUCGAUACUGGGGGACUUGAGAGUGGGAGAGGUUGGUGGAAUUCCCAGUGUAGAGGUGAAAUUCGUAGAUAUUGGGAAGAACACCGGUGGCGAAGGCGGCCAACUGGACCAUUUCUGACGCUGAGGCGCGAAAGCGUGGGGAGCAAACAGGAUUAGAAACCCUAGUAGUCC
rnacentral:rRNA from 1 species